UACAGAGGUGGCUAGCGUUGUUCGGAUUCAUUGGGUGUAAAGGGUGCGUAGGCGGCUUGGAAAGUCAGAUGUGAAAUCCUAGAGCUUAACUCUAGAACUGCAUUUGAAACUUCCGAGCUUGAGUGCGAGAGAGGUGUAGGGAAUUCCCGGUGUAAGGGUGAAAUCUGCAGAGAUCGGGAGGAACACCAGUAGCGAAGGCGCUACACUGGCUCGCAACUGACGCUGAGUGCACGAAGGCGUGGGGAGCAAACGGG
rnacentral:rRNA from 1 species